rnacentral:lncRNA from 1 species
GGGGGAUUUUACUACCUUAUUUCUAAAACAGUCUUUGGGAUGUGGAACAAACCCAGGCAUGCAUUAAGAUGGCCAAACAAUAUUUCUAAUUUUUUGCAGGGUAAAAUGGAUGCCAUAUACAAGCUGAAAAUUUUUGUGAUGUUUCUGUCUCUGGCUACUUUCACAGUCAUGGUGAUACUGAAUGCUGGAAACGCCACUGGGAUAUUCAAAGGUCUGUUCAGGACAACCCCUGGAAACAUCUCGGCAAAGUACAACACUGACUUCACACCGGCUGGCUGGACUUUCCUCAUCUGGAAUGUCAUCUAUGCCUGGCAGCUGGCCUGGCUUCUCUAUGCCUUGUCAGGGAUCUGUCGAAGGAAUGAACUUGGAUGUGUCUACAUAAAGCCAGACUUGCUGCCGAUACCUUUUUAUGUGAUGUGGAUUCUGAAUAAUGGCCUCAAUGUUGGAUGGCUGUUUCUAUGGGACCGAGAAUACCUUCUCCCAGCCCUGGUGUUCCUGGCAGCCCUGACUUUUACCACGUGUGCCGCCCUCUUCAUCUCGCACCGAGCGCUGAGCAUCCAUUCCUCGUGGUUUGUGAAGGGUCACAAAGCUGAGCUCUGGCUCAUCCGCAUCCUAGUUCAGAACGGGCUGGCGCUGUACGCAACGUGGACCACCAUCGCCACUCUGCUCAACUUUGCCAUUGUCUUAAUCUACAAGUGGAAUGUGUCCAACGAGAUGGCGACAAUUGCUUCUCUAAGCAUCCUUGCUCUUGUCCUAGUAAUAUGGUUUUAUCUAGAAAACUUCUUUCUUGACAAGUAUGUUCGCUAUAACCUUACAAUCUACCCAGUGGUCAUAAUAGCUCUGACUGGCAGUGCGUGCAAGAACGUCUCAUUUUCAUCCCCAACGACGAACGGCAUUUUUAUAGUUUUUCUGCUGGGGACAACUUGCUUGAUCUUUGCUGUGCGGCUGGGACUAGUCACGUGGAGACACUGUAAGAGACCGCUGGAAGCAUCGGAAACCCCAGACCCAUCAGGCACAGUGGCCUGAGACCUCUGAUCAGCUUCUCACUGCCAACCCCACCUUGAACCCGCACCCUCCUUCAUUUGGUUUGACUCUGGAUCGGCGCAGGGAAAAAGUCCUUCAGCUGAACAGCCCGAUGAUCACCUUUUGUGAUGACUGAGCUCUGGCUCUCCGCUCCUGGGCUGCCACCAGGCACUUGACAGGCUUGCACAGACAGUUGCCCACAUUCUUUUCCUUGGUAGCUUGGUUUUCUUGAAGUGCAGCUCUAAGCUGCCUGGGAGCAGAGGUGGGCAGCAGGAGGUCUGUUGUUCCUUUGGCCAUUCCCAGCUGGCUAUCUGCAAGCCCUGGUGGUGUGAGCAGCUCCCCAGGCAGCAAUUGCUCCCUUCCCUGCUUCUCUCCAUCAUGAUGGGAACAGAUCUUACAGCUCCAGAGAUCUGCCUUUGCAGUGUCAGCUCCAAGGAGGGGAGGAGGAAUGACUGAGUCCUAAUCACACAAUUGGAAGCCUUCAACCUACUGGAAGUAGCUCUAGAAACUGAAGAUGUGUUCACUUUUCAGGAGCCAGUAAGGUUUCUGGGUCUCUUCCCUGGUUGGUUUUUUGUUUUUUUUCCUGACUUUCUCAGUUAAGUUAGUUGCUGUGCACAGUUUGUGCUGGCCACAUGCCUCCUGCCAGAGGAUGGGUUGUAGCCACUCUGGCAGGAGGUUAGACAUACAGGUGAGGUGACACCUGGUCUGGGGUAAAGCCUGCUGCUUCAAAGGAUGCCUGUUUAAGGAAGAAAAAAAAAAAUAAAAUUAUUUGAACCAGUAGAGUGAGUUCA